AGUGAACGCUGGCGGUAGGCCUAACACAUGCAAGUCGAACGGCAGCACAGUAAGAGCUUGCUCUUACGGGUGGCGAGUGGCGGACGGGUGAGGAAUACAUCGGAAUCUACUUUUUCGUGGGGGAUAACGUAGGGAAACUUACGCUAAUACCGCAUACGACCUACGGGUGAAAGCAGUGGAUCUUCGGACCUUGUGCGAUUGAAUUAGCCGAUGUCGGAUUAGCUAGUUGGCGGGGUAAUGGCCCACCAAGGCGACGAUCCGUAGCUGGUCUGAGAGGAUGAUAGGCGACACUGGAACGGAGGCACGGUCCAGAGUCCUAAGGGAGGCAGCAGUGGGGAAUAUUGGACAAUGGGCGCAAGCCUGAUCCAGCCAUACCGCGUGGGUGAAGAAGGCCUUCGGGUUGUAAAGCCCUUUUGUUGGGAAAGAAAAGCAGCAGGUUAAUACCCCGCUGUUCUGACGGUACCCAAAGAAUAAGCACCGGCUAACUUCGUG
rnacentral:rRNA from 1 species